GACGAACGCUGGCGGCGUGCUUAACACAUGCAAGUCGAACGGAAGGGCGCUACUCUUGUGUGUUGCUCGUUUGCCGAGCGGGUGAGUAACACGUGAGUAACCUGCACUUAACUUUGUGAUAUCAUCACGGAACUGCGGAGAAUACACGGUAGGAUCUCCUGCUGCGUGGUGUUGGUUGGAGAGUGUCGGCGGUUGUGUAUGUACUCGCGGCGUAUCCGCUUCUUGGUGGGGUAGUGGCAUAACAAGGCUUUGACGGGUAGCCGGCCUGAGAGGGUGACCGGCCACACUGGAACCGAACGACGGGCAACACUCCUACGGGAGGCAGAAGUGGCGAAUGUUUCACAAUGGGAGGAAGCCUGAUGCAGGAACGCCUCCUGCUGGAUAACCGCCUUCGGGUUGGAAACCGCUUUCGGUAGUGAACAAGCGUCAGUGACAGUAAUGGGUAAAGAAGCACCGGCUCAAUCCGUG
rnacentral:rRNA from 1 species